rnacentral:rRNA from 1 species
UGGGGAAUAUUGCACAAUGGAGGGAACUCUGAUGCAGCGACGCCGCGUGAGUGAUGAAGGAAUUCGUUUCGUAAAACUCUGUUCUAUGGGAAGAAAAGGACUGUACCAUAGGAGAAAGCUCCGGCUAAAUACGUGCCAGCAGCCGCGGUAAUACGUAUGGAGCGAGCGUUGUCCGGAAUUAUUGGGCGUAAAGGGUGCGCAGGCGGCUUUACAAGUUGGAUGUGAAAUAUUGUGGCUCAACCACAAACGUGCAUCCAAAACUGCAAAGCUUGAGUUAAGGAGAGGUAAGUGGAAUUCCUGGUGUAGCGGUGGAAUGCGCAGAUAUCAGGAGGAAUACCGGUGGCGAAGGCGGGUCUCUGGGCUGUUACUGACGCUGAGGAGCGAAAGCGUGGGGAGCGAACAGG